rnacentral:rRNA from 1 species
UAAGACAGAGGGUGCAAACGUUGUUCGGAAUUACUGGGCGUAAAGCGCGUGUAGGCAGCUCGGAAAGUCGGAUGUGAAAGCCCUGGGCUUAACCCAGGAAGAGCAUUCGAAACUUCCGAGCUUGAGUUCCGGAGAGGAAGGCGGAAUUCUCGGUGUAGAGGUGAAAUUCGUAGAUAUCGAGAGGAACACCGGUGGCGAAGGCGGCCUUCUGGACGGUGACUGACGCUGAGACGCGAAAGCGUGGGGAGCAAACAGGAUUAGAUACCCUGGUAGUCCACGCCGUAAACGAUGGGUGCUAGGUGUCGCGGGCUUUGACCCCUGCGGUGCCGUAGCUAACGCAUUAAGCACCCCGCCUGGGGAGUACGGCCGCAAGGCUA